UUGCUUUAGCAACACAUACACCAUCAUUGGAAUGAUAACAGAGAAGAUUAGCAUGGCCCCUGCACAAGGAUGACAUACAAAUUUGUGAAGGUUCCAUAGUUAAA
ensembl:snRNA U6 U6 spliceosomal RNA